rnacentral:rRNA from 1 species
GUCUUUUUGAAAAUAAUUUAAAGUCUAACCUGCCCAUUGAAAAAUUUUAACGGCCGCAGUAAUUUGACUGUGCAAAGGUAGCAUAAUCAUUAGUUUUUUAAUUUAAAGCUAGAAUGAAUGGUUGAACGAAAUAAAAUCUGUCUCAAAUUUAAUUUUUUAAAAUUUAAUUUUUAAGUUAAAAAGCUUAAAUUUAAUUAAAAGACGAGAAGACCCUAUAGAGCUUUAUAUAAAUUAUAUUAAAAAUAUAAUAUAGAAUUUUUAAAAUUAUAAUAUAAAAUAUAUUUUAUUGGGGUGAUAAAAAAAUUUAUAAAACUUUUUUUAUUUUAAAACAUUAAUUUAUGAAUUUAUGAUCCAUUAUUAUUGAUUAAAAGAUUAAGUUACCUUAGGGAUAACAGCGUAAUUUUUUUAAAGAGUUCUUAUCGAAAAAAAAGAUUGCGACCUCGAUGUUGGAUUAAAGAUUAUUUUUGGUGUAGAAGUUAAAAAUUUAGGUCUGUUCGACCUUUAAAUCUUUACA